rnacentral:rRNA from 1 species
GAGUUUGAUCCUGGCUCAGAACGAACGCUGGCGGCGUGCUUAACACAUGCAAGUCAGGGAGAAAGUCUCUUCGGGGAUGAUUAAACCGGCGCACGGGUGAGUAACACGUGAGUGACCUGCCUUUUAGACUGGAACAACUUACCGAAAGGUGAGCUAAUGCCGGAUGAGUUAUAUAAGUGCAUGUUUAUAUAGGAAAAGUUGGGGAGACCUGACGCUGAAAGAUGGACUCGCGUCCCAUUAGCUAGUUGGUAGGGUAAUGGCCUACCAAGGCGACGAUGGGUAGCCGGCCUGAGAGGGUGGCCGGCCACACUGGGACUGAGACACGGCCCAGACUCCUACGGGAGGCAGCAGUGGGGAAUUUUGCGCAAUGCUCGUAAGAGUGACGCAGCGACGCCGCGUGAAUGACGAAGGCCUUCGGGUCGUAAAGUUCUUUCGACAGGGAAGAAAAUGCCUAUAAGUAACUGUGUAUGUAUUGACGGUACCUGUGUAAGCAGCCCCGGCUAACUCCGUGCCAGCAGCCGCGGUAAUACGGAGGGGGCGAGCGUUGUUCGGAGUGACUGGGCGUAAAGAGCACGUAGGCGGUGUUGUAAGUCAUUAGUCAAAGACUAGAGCUCAACUUUAGUAAGGCUAGUGAUACUAUAAUACUAGAGUAUCAG